ACUUGCUUUCUUUGCCGGCGACCGGCGCACGGGUGAGUAACACGUAUCCAACCUGCCCUUUACUCGGGGAUAGCCUUUCGAAAGAAAGAUUAAUACCCGAUGGCAUAAUGAUUCCGCAUGGUUUCAUUAUUAAAGGAUUCCGGUAAAGGAUGGGGAUGCGUUCCAUUAGGUUGUUGGUGAGGUAACGGCCCACCAAGCCUUCGAUGGAUAGGGGUUCUGAGAGGAAGGUCCCCCACAUUGGAACUGAGACACGGUCCAAACUCCUACGGGAGGCAGCAUGG
rnacentral:rRNA from 1 species